AUGGGUGUCCCCCAGAACAGAGCAACCACGAGAACCUGAUCCCAGGUCGAGUCACACUGAGGAGGAUGAGGACCAGGCCCCCGGCAUCCAAGAGGGAUCCCCCCCGCUCCAGCCAGGACCAGACCAUAUCAGCCAGCUGGUCAAUAAGUCUCCACCAGGAACCCUGAGGGUCCAGACUGGAACCCGGCCACAGAACAGAGAGACUGAGUCAGAGGAAAGAAGGAGCACAGUACAUCAGUACUGCAUCAAGCAUUUUUAGUUGUUUUCGGUGCCGGAAUGGACCCAAAUACUCUCACCUGCCAUCACUAGAAGCUGGAAGUUCUCCUUUCCAUCACUCAGCAACAUUUGUGGCCUGCCUACUGUGUGCCAGGCGCUGUAUGGGGGCAGAGAAAUAAACCAAACAGACAGAGCAGGCUCCUGGGACGCUCACAGUCUCUCUGGGCAGACAGACAAUAAACAGAGAGUUACUCAAUUGAUCAGUUAAUUACAGUUGUGACACAUAUGGUGAAGAAAGGAACCUCAGAGGUGAUGAGAAGGAGCCCUCGCCUGCUUUCUGGGCUCACGGAAGUCACUCUUAGGAAUGUGACUUUUCAGCUGGGAUCUGAAGGAUCUGAAGGAAUUUGUGAGUUGUUGAGGGCUAGAUUGAAAGAAUCCAGGCAGAGGGAACAACAUACACAAAACUCGGAAGUGGAAGGGAACGUGACAUUCCAGGUUCCGAAAAAUGUCCAGCGACCACACCACAUGGAGCAGGCAGGAGGGCAGGACCAGAGGUGAGGCCGGAGGUCAGCUGGGCCAGACAGUCAGCCUCCCAAAAGCAGGGGUUCAGACUUUGAUCGAUACCCCAAGAGCAGCAGGAGUCGUGGGGAGCCUCCGGGCCAGGCUUGCUCCUCAGGUCACUCUGCUGUGGUGUGGAGGGUGGAGGAGGGACCACAGUGAGCAACAGACACCGGCUGGGCCAAUGAAGAGGCUCCGUGCACAGAGGUGGACGGAUUCAAGAGAGCUGUACAGGAUGAGAAGGAUUGCCACCAAGCUUAACUGCAAAAUUGUCCCGGAAUGCCUUACCCAAGCACGCUCAUCGUUCUUGUUUGUCCCCAGACCCACUCCACACCUACUAUCGCCGCGGGAGGCUGGCCUCUGUGGGCUUCACGGGGGACCUCCUGCACCUCUGGCUUCCUGUGGGGUUUGGCCGAUGGUAGGCACCAGGAGAUGAGAGGAGGAGAGGCUGUUACUUCUCUGCCCUCUGCCUGCCUUAGUGCCCCAUCCGCCCGCCCUCAAGACUACAGCCGCUGUCAGGUGGCCUGUCCUCUGCCCUCCCUGGGUCCAGUUCUCGCGGGGCUCUGGCAGCACCAAUGCCUUGCCUCACCUC